CGAGUUACGUUGUAAACAUAGAAGGGGGAAAAGCUCUGCAAAUAUUCACGUGAUCGACGAUACUGUUUCUUCUGGAAUAUUACCCGAUUACGUCCCUGACGGUUUCUCUCCCACUCGCUUCAUAUUACUCGGCCAAGUUCAUAGCAACAUUCAGUAGAUGGCCAGUGGCAGGCGAAUAGUGCACGGAGGUGUAUGGUUAUGGAGCAGCUGAUUGUGACAAUCACAGGAAUGCUUCAUAAUUAAUGAUUGUAAAGCGUAGGAAGUGUCGAUGCUGUUAAAUAGAACGUGAUUUAUUUGUUGCUAAUUCUAUCCACGAGGAUAAAACAUCAAUACAUAAUGCAUAAUAGUUACGAUGUGGGGUCCAGUGGUGAUGCCACUGUUACAACAGUGCCACAUCAACGUAUGCAAGAAUCGCCAACUGACAAGGCUAAUGAGAACACUUCUCUAUCUCCAAACAACCAAACCUAUUGUAAUGAAAGAGUGCAAGUGCCAGAAAUACCGGGAACAGGAUUUAGUUUUAGGAAAUUAUGGGCUUUCACCGGGCCUGGUUUCUUAAUGUCCAUAGCUUAUCUGGAUCCUGGCAACAUAGAAUCGGAUCUACAAUCUGGUGUCGUAGCAAAAUACAAGUUAUUAUGGGUACUCCUAAGCGCUACUAUCCUAGGUCUUGUUAUGCAAAGACUCAGUGCGCGUCUUGGUGUAGUAAGCGGUUUGCAUCUAGCAGAGAUGUGUUACAGACAAUACAAAAAAGUGCCUAGACUUAUUUUGUGGAUAAUGAUUGAAAUAGCAAUUAUUGGCAGCGAUAUGCAGGAGGUGAUAGGAACGGCCAUUGCCCUUUAUCUCUUAUCUAAUAAAAUGAUUCCUAUAUGGGGUGGUGUACUUAUUACAGUAAUUGACACAUUUACAUUUUUAUUGCUAGAUAAAUAUGGCUUGAGGAAAUUGGAGCUUUUCUUCGGUUUUCUUAUCGCAAUCAUGGCAAUCACCUUUGGUUAUGAGUAUACUGUUUCUGCGCCUCCACAAUUAGAUGUUAUAAGAGGCAUGUUUGUUCCGUGGUACAAUGGAAUGAAUUAUGAUAACAAGGUGCUGCUUCAAGCUGUAGGAAUCGUUGGAGCUGUCAUUAUGCCGCAUAAUUUGUACCUUCACAGCGCCUUAGUCAAAUCGAGAGAUAUCGAUCGAAGACAGCCCGCAAAGAUCAAAGAUGCUAAUAUGUAUUACUUUAUCGAGGCCUGCGUUGCAUUAUUUGUGUCAUUCAUAAUCAAUGUGUUCGUUGUGGCCGUAUUUGCUCAUGGACUCUUCAACAAGACGAAUAACGAUGUUUAUGAAGUUUGCAAGACGCAUAAUUAUACUCUUGGCAUGCAAACGUUUGAUAGAAACAAUAAAACGGUUGAUGCCGAUCUUUACAAAGGCGGAAUCUUUCUCGGUUGUUCCUUUGGCGCGGCCGCUAUGUACAUAUGGGCUGUUGGUAUUUUGGCCGCCGGACAAUCUUCCACUAUGACGGGCACCUAUGCCGGUCAGUUCGCGAUGGAAGGGUUUCUGAAUCUGCAGUGGGCACGUUGGAAGCGAGUGCUCUUCACUCGAACAAUCGCUAUAAUUCCCACGUUCCUAGUAGCUUUCUUCGCCGAUCUGAACAACUUGAGCGACAUGAACGACAUUUUAAACGCAAUAAUGAGCCUACAGUUACCGUUCGCCACCCUGCCGACAAUUGCCUUCACGAGUAGCGUUCAUAUCAUGGGUGAAUUCCGUAACGGAAUAGCAAACAAGAUUGUAUCGACUGCUUUGUCGGUACUAGUAAUAACGAUAAACAUAUAUUUCGUGAUACAAACUGUCCAAGAAGACUUGCCCCAUCAUUGGGCCGUAUUCUUUGCCAUGUCCUUGUACGCGAUCCUAUAUCUUCUCUUCUGCGCUUACUUGGCUAUUCAUAUGGCUGUGAGUAUGGGCGCAACUUCCCUCAGCAACCAUUGGUUUGUUGUUAAGUACAUCGGUUCACCCGUUAAUCCUACGCUCGGUUUAUCGAAUCCUGCCGUUUAUGCCAGUUUCCACAAUACGUCCGAAACCUCAUUAAACGCUUAGUUGGAAUAGUGCAAUUGAAUGUGUGAAACAAUAUACGACCUUUGUAUUCCACAAAUAUGUGAAAACGAUGUCGUGUUGGACAGGUGCUUGAUCUCGUGUAAGAUCUCGUGACGUCAGCAUGAUACCCUAUGUCUGAGCAAACGUUGACUUCGUCAAAAAGAACAAAUCCAGCAUUUUCCAUUCAGGACGAAAGUUUGGGUGGCAGUUUUACAUCUAUACCAGCAUACUAACUUGUUAGCGAAAAACAUAUUGCCAACGGAUAAGCGAUAACGUGCACGUGACAAGCGAAACAAAUUUGUCUUCAACUACAAAUUGUAUAAGAGGUAAUCUUUAGUGCCUUAUAUUGUAAUUGAGAUUCUGUCGUCAUUUACAUAUAUGUAUAUGCGAAUAAAUGGAAUAUUUCGUAAAUUUAGGCAGAAUAUGAAAGGCAAGAUAUGUGCUAAUUAGCGCAUAUAAUAAUUAAAUAAAUUAAUAAAUAAUUAAGUUAGUAAUGAAAUGUGGAGAUAGCAUUUAUAAUAUGCUCAAUGACGAAUUUUUAUUCAAAUAUUUAAUAAUUGAUAGUGACAUGUUUAAUAAACUUCUUAUAUUGUUUGUUUGUAAAGUAUAUUAAAUAUAUAUAUUCUUACAAAAGUAACUUUAUAUAAACUAUUCUAUUAUAUAGUCAAUUUUUAUAGAGAACUAUCUAAUUCUUAUAUGGUAUGUAAAAUAAUGUAAAUACUAUAUUAAAUGAAUUAAGUUUUAUUGUUUUAUACAUAUAAAAUAAAUGACAUUAGCGUAUCGCAUGUGUUAAUUAUCUUCAACGGCAUUAAGUGCCAUAAAACAGUUCGUCGCUCAAUACACAUUACACUAUAUUAUUUGAAACAUCACAAAAAUAUUUUUAAUAAGAUACCCGUACACAUAUAUAUACGUUUUACUUGUAAAUAUUCUAAAAUAAUUCGACACGCACUUAGUUGCAAACAACAACCAAGUUGUAAGAUCAAAUUAAAAAAACAGGAACAUGAUUCGUAUGUUGUAAGUCGCAGAUGUAUAACUGCACUCGUGCAGUUUCAAUUGUUAAAAAUGCAAAAUAUAUUCUAUACAUUGCGUCAUAA
rnacentral:misc_RNA from 1 species